GCGAGCAUGGUAUAAGGGUUGUGCCUCAGUCUUCCAAGCUGAUGAUGCGAGUUCGAGUCUCGCUGUUCGCU
rnacentral:tRNA from 1 species